rnacentral:rRNA from 1 species
GAUGAACGCUGGCGGCGUGCCUAACACAUGCAAGUCGAACGAAGCUUGACGGAUGAUUUCUUCGGAAUGAAACCAGAUAUGACUUAGUGGCGGACGGGUGAGUAACACGUGAGCAACCUGCCUUUCAGAGGGGGAUAACGGUUGGAAACGGUCGCUAAUACCGCAUGAUGUGUUCGGAUGGCAUCAUCUGAACAUCAAAGAUUUAUCGCUGAAAGAUGGGCUCGCGUCUGAUUAGAUAGUUGGUGGGGUAACGGCCUACCAAGUCUACGAUCAGUAGCCGGACUGAGAGGUUGAACGGCCACAUUGGGACUGAGAUACGGCCCAGACUCCUACGGGAGGCAGCAGUGGGGAAUAUUGCACAAUGGGGGAAACCCUGAUGCAGCAACGCCGCGUGAAGGAUGACGGUUUUCGGAUUGUAAACUUCUUUUCUUAGUGACGAAGACAGUGACGGUAGCUAAGGAAUAAGCAUCGGCUAACUACGUG